GGGCCCGCGGGGGAAGCCGGGCUCGGGGUCGGGCUGCCUGGCCUGCCCCGGGGCCCUGCGGCGCGCGGUCGUUGCAUCGCCGCAGCGUGGGGGGGUUGCAGGCAGCUGGGCCAGGCUGUGCCUAUAGCCCGUUACACGCAGCUCCCCAGCGAUCCCCCUCCCCCGCCUUGCUCCCUCGGUACUGCCGUGCCCGCUUUAAAGCUGAAUUUGUAAAUCCCUCUGCCGGCUCCCUUCUGUUGCAGCUGCGUCCAAAUUAAACCAGUUCUGCGUGUGUGUGUGAGAGGGAGAGACUCUUUGUACGUGUCCCAGCUUUGUCUCUGUCCCCUUGUCUACAAACUGCCACUCGCUGGCGUAGCUCCUCCGGUGCCGACGGUAUUCCAGAAUAAAGCCACUUUUAUCCCAUCAUCAUUAUUCUGCUUGAGGAGCAGCCGUGUUGGUCUGUGUCCGCAAAAAGAAAAGGAGGACUUGUGGCGCCUUAAGAGGCUAACAAACUUACAAGUUCAUUGCCCAGCUACCAAAAUUCAACCACGUCUAGGAUGGAACAGCUGAUGCUGAACAGUUUACAACACAACAUAGCAGUUAGUGGAAGCUCAGAUGCUCAUAAAAUCACGUGACUCCAGGAACUUGGGCUUUGAGGAAAAAAACACCAACUAUCAUGGAACCUCUGCUAAAAUCAUGAGAGUUAGCAACAAUAAAUAAGCAUAGAGCAAAUACGUAACUAAUAUUAACUCUUUGUACAAUGCGGCAGUAGAGAAUCCGGCUAUAUCCGUCCAGGAAGUGCACCUGUAGUUUACAGAUGACCUAAUGCAUUGUGUACAAGAUAACAUACCAUGUUUAUCUUUUAUUAAUAAAGUACUGUAAACAUUG